rnacentral:rRNA from 1 species
GACGAACGCUGGCGGCGUGGAUUAGGCAUGCAAGUCGAACGGUAGGAUACCUUCGGGUAUCUGAGAGUGGCGAACGGGUGAGUAACACGUAGGUGAUCUACCCUCAAGAUUGGGACAACCCAGGGAAACUUGGGCUAAUACCGGAUGAAAGCAGCAGUGAUGUUGUUUGAAAGGUGGCGUAAGCUGCCGUUUGGGGAUGAGCCUGCGCUCUAUUAGUUAGUUGGCGGGGUAAAGGCCCACCAAGGCGAUGAUAGAUAGGCGGCCUUAACGGGUGGUCGCCCACACUGGGAUUGAGAUACGGCCCAGACUCCUACGGGAGGCAGCAGUCGAGAAUAGCUACAAUGGCCGAAAGGCUGAUAGUGCGACGCCGCGUGAACGAAGAAGCCCUUCGGGGUGUAAGUUCUUUUAUAUGUAGCAGUGCUUUCUAUGUGAACAGCAUGGGGAGAGAUAUUAGCAUAUGAUAAGCAACGGCAACUCCGUGCCAGC